CAUUGAUGUGGUGCUUGCACCUGAUUGAUUUUGGUCGCCAACGAGUGGCGGACGGGUGAGUAACACGUAGGUAACCUGCCCAGAAGCGGGGGACAACAUUUGGAAACAGAUGCUAAUACCGCAUAACAACGUUGUUCGCAUGAACAACGCUUAAAAGAUGGCUUCUCGCUAUCACUUCUGGAUGGACCUGCGGUGCAUUAGCUUGUUGGUGGGGUAACGGCCUACCAAGGCGAUGAUGCAUAGCCGAGUUGAGAGACUGAUCGGCCACAAUGGGACUGAGACACGGCCCAUACUCCUACGGGAGGCAGCAGUAGGGAAUCUUCCACAAUGGGCGCAAGCCUGAUGGAGCAACACCGCGUGAGUGAAGAAGGGUUUCGGCUCGUAAAGCUCUGUUGUUAAAGAAGAACACGUAUGAGAGUAACUGUUCAUACGUUGACGGUAUUUAACCAGAAAGUCACGGCUAACUACGUGCCAGCAGCCGCGGUAAUACGUAGGUGGCAAGCGUUAUCCGGAUUUAUUGGGCGUAAAGAGAGUGCAGGCGGUUUUCUAAGUCUGAUGUGAAAGCCUUCGGCUUAACCGGAGAAGUGCAUCGGAAACUGGAUAACUUGAGUGCAGAAGAGGGUAGUGGAACUCCAUGUGUAGCGGUGGAAUGCGUAGAUAUAUGGAAGAACACCAGUGGCGAAGGCGGCUACCUGGUCUGCAACUGACGCUGAGACUCGAAAGCAUGGGUAGCGAACAGGAUUAGAUACCCUGGUAGUCCAUGCCGUAAACGAUGAGUGCUAGGUGUUGGAGGGUUUCCGCCCUUCAGUGCCGGAGCUAACGCAUUAAGCACUCCGCCUGGGGAGUACGACCGCAAGGUUGAAACUCAAAGGAAUUGACGGGGGCCCGCACAAGCGGUGGAGCAUGUGGUUUAAUUCGAAGCUACGCGAAGAACCUUACCAGGUCUUGACAUCUUGCGCCAACCCUAGAGAUAGGGCGUUUCCUUCGGGAACGCAAUGACAGGUGGUGCAUGGUCGUCGUCAGCUCGUGUCGUGAGAUGUUGGGG
rnacentral:rRNA from 2 species